rnacentral:lncRNA from 1 species
UAUUGCAUGUCUAUUUUUGUUGGGUUACACACUAAGUUUACGGAAAUUCACAUCUGUUUGUUUAUUUUGUUCAGGUAAUCCAUAGACUUAGACGAAUCGGUGUGACAGAGCCUUAUGGUGACCACGAGUUCAUAAACUGUUUAAGAUUAUGGCUUUUAUUUUAAUUUAAGGAUUAUUUCUAGGAGUUUUGUAAUAAUUGGACUCU